GCGGCAAUGGCGGAAUUGGUAGACGCGCUACCUUGAGGGGGUAGUAUCCAAAAGAUGUGCAAGUUCAAAUCUUGUUUGCCGCACCA
rnacentral:tRNA from 1 species